UGUCUAUGACUUUCACGAAGGCUGGCAAGAUGGCUCAGUAGGGAAAGGGGUUUGCCACCAAGCCUGAUGACCUGGGUUGAUUUCUGAACUCCAAUGGUAGAAGCAGAGAAGCAAUUUCUGUGUGAUGUAUGCACACGGAGACACAAGCCCAAAGAGGAUACAUAAAUGAAAUGUUCGGGAAAAAAAUUUUUUUAAAGAAAAACAAAAAGGGAGCCCAAUACUGCAGCUCAGUUGGCAAGUGCUUAGCAUGAGUGGGGGUUCCACACCCAGCAGCACAGAAACCGGGUGCUUGGAAAGUGGAGGCAGAAGAUCAGGAAUUCAAGGUGUGCUUCGCAGCAGAGCUGGUUCUGCUAGCCUGGGCUACAUGAGAUCCUGCUUCCCUGAAAAAAUAAAAUAGAGUUCCAGCCUCAGGCCUAGAACCCAGGACUCAGCUAACCUACGCAUUUCGCCUGUUCAGACCUUCUCCCAUUUUCCUUGGAUCAGGAGGCACGGGUGGCAGUGUGCACAGGUACAUUUGGACAUGUGUUCAUAUGUGUGU
rnacentral:lncRNA from 1 species